rnacentral:rRNA from 1 species
UACAGAGGGUGCAAGCGUUAAUCGGAAUUACUGGGCGUAAAGCGUGCGUAGACGGUUGCAUAAGUCAGAUGUGAAAGCCCCGGGCUCAACCUGGGAAUUGCAUUUGAGACUGUGUAACUAGGGUGCGGAAGAGGGAAGCGGAAUUUCCGGUGUAGCAGUGAAAUGCGUAGAGAUCGUAAGGAAGACCAGUGGCGAAGGCGAGUUUCUGGACAGUUACUGACGCUGAGGCACGAAGGCCAGGGGAGCAAACGGG